AAUGAACGUUGGCGGCGUGGAUUAGGCACGCAAGUCGCACGAGAACCCCGCAAGGGGGGAAAGUGGCAAACGGCGUAGUAAGGCGUAGGUGACGUACCCCGAGGACCGGGAUAGCUACGGGAAACUGUAGGUAAUACCGGAUAACCCCCAUCCGAUUGAAAGGGAUGGUGCAGAGGUGUGAUUCCACCUGAGGAGGGGUCCGCGUCCUAUUAGCUAGUUGGUGAGGUAACGGCUCACCAAGGCGAAGAUGGGUAUGGGAUGUGAGAGCAUGAUCCCACUCACUGGGACUGAGACACUGCCCAGACACCUACGGGUGGCUGCAGUCGAGAAUCUUCGGCAAUGGGGGCAACCCUGACCGAGCGACGCCGCGUGCGAGAUGAAGGCCUUCGGGUUGUAAAUCGCUGUCAGAGGGGAGGAAAUGCUAGUGGGUUCUCCCACUGGUUUGACCUAGCCUCAGAGGAAGGACGGGCUAAGUUCGUGCCAGCAGCCGCCGUAAUAC
rnacentral:rRNA from 1 species